CCGGGUCCAUCUAGUGCUCCCCAAGACAGAAUCAAAGCUAGAACUUUCGCUUCUCCAUCACUGUACUAGGAAGCAGCUGAUUCACUGAAGCUCUGCAAUCUUCUCCGCAGAGUUAUAAAUGUAAACUUUAUAUUUCUGUUAUUUAAUUUUGGAUGUAUAAGUUACUCUAUUAUCAGAUUUUUUUUUUGAACUCCGCAGUUAUAGGGUUGUGUAUUACUAUUGGACUUAUUGUUAGCAUUACACUAUAAAUUAAAUAUUAUGUAAUUAACUGCAAGUGAA